GUAGGGUGCGAGCGUUGUCCGGAUUUAUUGGGCGUAAAGAGCUCGUAGGCGGCUCGUCGCGUCGGUUGUGAAAACUUCAGGCUUAACCUGGAGCUUGCAACCGAUACGGGCGGGCUAGAGUUCGGUAGGGGAGACUGGAAUUCCUGGUGUAGCGGUGAAAUGCGCAGAUAUCAGGAGGAACACCGGUGGCGAAGGCGGGUCUCUGGGCCGAUACUGACGCUGAGGAGCGAAAGCGUGGGGAGCGAACAGGAUUAGAUACCCUGGUAGUCCACGCUGUAAACGGUGGGUGCUAGGUGUGGGGACCUCUCCAGGUCUCCGUGCCGCAGCUAACGCAUUAAGCACCCCGCCUGGGGAGUACGGCCGCAAGGCUA
rnacentral:rRNA from 1 species